UAAGACCAAGGUGCGGGUGUGUAGAAGAGU
rnacentral:piRNA from 1 species